UUUUUCGGUCUGGGAUGGACUCGCGGCCUAUCAGCUUGUUGGUGAGGUAAUGGCUCACCAAGGCGACGACGGGUAGCCGGCCUGAGAGGGCGACCGGCCACACUGGGACUGAGACACGGCCCAGACUCCUACGGGAGGCAGCAGUGGGGAAUAUUGCACAAUGGGCGAAAGCCUGAUGCAGCGACGCCGCGUGAGGGAUGACGGCCUUCGGGUUGUAAACCUCUUUCAGCAGGGAAGAAGCGGAAGUGACGGUACCUGCAGAAGAAGCACCGGCUAACUACGUGCCAGCAGCCGCGGUAAUACGUAGGGUGCGAGCGUUGUCCGGAAUUAUUGGGCGUAAAGAGCUUGUAGGUGGUUUGUCGCGUCUGCUGUGAAAAUCCGAGGCUCAACCUCGGACUUGCAGUGGGUACGGGCAGACUAGAGUGUGGUAGGGGAGACUGGAAUUCCUGGUGUAGCGGUGGAAUGCGCUGAUAUCAGGAGGAACACCGAUGGCGAAGGCAGGUCUCUGGGCCAUUACUGACACU
rnacentral:rRNA from 1 species